GAAGCGGCCAUCUCAGGAGACUCGCUUACCAUUUCCCUAUGCAUGUCCCUCUAAUCUUCCGUCGUAAAUGGAGGUAAAGAUGAUCGAAGUCCACUUUUCCAUGUCAUGAUGAAACCGAGUACUUUGUACAGAUGACAAAGACCAGUUUGAGGCCACUAGAGAGGAGCAUUUCCUCUGUGACACAUGGUUUCCACAGACCAUGAUUCUCUGCGUCCUAGGAAGGAGCGCUUUGGAUGAAGGUCACUUCAGAAGUAAAGGGAACGAAAGGAAGGAAAGAAAAGGGAAGCGAGCAGGAAGUGGAGAUCCACGCCAGUCACUCCAGCUACGCUUACAUCUUGAGGCUGGUGAUUCCAAGUUAAAGGCUAUGACCAAGGCCCUGAGUUCGAUUCUCUACCGCCACCAAAUAAAACAGAAGCCCGAUAAAAAAAAGAGACAAAAGACAUCUCCACCAAAAAUCUGUCAUCCAAGUACUCAGGGGCUUGAGGCAGAGGACAUAGUGAGUUCAAGGCCAGCCUGGGAUACACAGAAAAAUCCUGCUUCAAACAAUAAAAUUCUAAUCCUGACCAA
rnacentral:sRNA from 1 species